rnacentral:rRNA from 1 species
GUCCACGCUGUAAACGAUGUGCACUAGGCGUGGGGCCCGUACGGGUUCUGUGCCGUAGUUAACGUGUUAAGUGCACCGCCUGGGGAGUAUGCUCGCAAGGGUGAAACUCAAAGGAAUUGACGGGGCCCGCACAAGCGGUGGAGCAUGUGGUUUAAUUCGAUGGUACACGAGGAACCUUACCAGGGCUUGACAUGUGCGUGAAUGUUCACGAGAGUGGGCAGCCCCGCAAGGGGCGCGCACACAGGUGCUGCAUGGCUGUCGU